GCCGGGCGUGGUGGCUCAUGCCUGUAAUCCCAGCAUUUUGGGAGGCUGAGGCAGGUGGAUCGCCUGAGGUCAGGAGUUCGAGACCAGCCUGGCCAUCAUGGCGAAACCCUGUCUCUA
ensembl:misc_RNA Metazoa_SRP Metazoan signal recognition particle RNA